GAUCCUCCAGCAGGUCACCUCUUUCUAACACGCAGGGGGACCAAACGGGGUCCUGAGUCCCACUGCCUUCUGCCACUUGUUGCGUGUCUCAGAGGCAAAGAGAAACAACCUUGGAAAUGCGACAAGCUGUGAAUGUGGAGUCAGAGAUUCUGGGUUUGAUUUCUUCCUGUUGCAAUUCUUCCUUGUAUGAUCUUGGGGGUGCUGAGUGUGUGUUGCUGUUCAUGAGUGUGAGUGGCUCCAAGGAUGUGGCCUGUGCAGGAGAAUAACUAGGUAGAUGCUCAGAUAUACCUACAAUGAGCAAUUCAUAAUUGUUUAUUCAUAGCAUGAACAACUCUGUUCCUGUGAGGGAAGGGAGAGAAGAGGACAGAGGCAAGCUGCCAAUGGUCACUGCCCUUCAGUUCGGGGCCACCCCUGCUCCAAGUCUUAAGAGGCUCCCCCGAGGCCAUCACCUGGAGGUGAGCAGCCACCCCAGGCUGGAGCAGGAUCUGCUCCAGAGUCCCAAAAGAUUCAUCUUCUAUGUGACUCAUUGUCCUGUGGAGCCAACCCAUUUUACUGAUGAAGGACAUAAUUGUUAACGGACUUUUACUGAAGUGAGCAUUACCUCUUUUCUUAUGCUCCAUGGACAUCUCAUCGAGGACCCUUGAAGUGAGGUUACCAUUCUUAGCUCCCACAGCAAAGAGAUCCCAGGAGACUGGACACUGAAGAAUCUCAUCUUGUAUAAAGACAGACCAAGAUAUGAUGUUUUUCCUUUCAAACCUAUAAACCCUAUGGGAUUCAUUCCGAUCUUUUCCUGCUGCCAGGAUAUUUAACAAGUAUUUCCCUGACAAAGGAAGACAUUCAUUGCAGAGCAGAUGAGAGGACUCCAAGGUGACUUAUUUAGGCCAUGCAGGGGUGAAAGGCCUAUGUUAGGUCAGGCCAAAGGUGCUCACUCUCUGAGAUGGGCAAACAGCUUGGCUAAGACACCAAGAGAUCACAGCCUUUUCAUUAAGGCUCUGUGCAGAUGGUGGCACCCACUCUUCCUGCAUGUGGUGUUUGCCUGCAGAGGCUGAGGACAUGCUAGGGCAAAAGCCAGAUGCCUGGGAUUUCCCAGGCUGUCUGUCCAGUGAGUAAUAGUUCCCUCUCAGGGGCUGCUGGGUGCUGCAGAGGAUGUUUCUGGUGAAGAGAGGCUAAAGGGAGGAGACCUGGGUUUUUGUUCUUUGUGCUAAUUUAUUCUGUUAUCUUGGUCCAGACCUUCCUCUCUGGCCCUUAGUUUCAUUUUACCUAAGAAGGAGAUUUCAGUACUAGCUCUUUCAGACCCUGAAAAAAAGAAACACGCACUAAGUCUCCAUCCUUCAUUGGCUACUUACAAUGUGCAGCUGUGGGCUAAGCACAGGAGCUGCAUGCCCUCCGCUGGAGUGAAGAGCAUCAUCAAUAUUUGCUCCCUGGGGCUUGCCAGCUCCUCUUCCCUGGCUCCUGACUGUUGGCUUCAAUUCAUGGCCACUCUCUGCCCUCCUCCGUGAUCCCUGGUGGUGGCCCAUGACUACAGUUGUUUGAUACCGGCUGUGCCGCCUCUGGAGAUGUUCUGGCCUUGGUGCUAAGACUUAUAAGCUGGGCCUGGGGACUGUUGGACCUGGGGUCCUGGAAUGACCACUUAGUGGGUGCAUUGCUUUAGCAGGUUUCCUAACUUACAGAUUUAUUGUCUUCUUUUAAGAUUUCCCCCUUUUUAUAUCUAAGGGUUGUUGUGAACCUGAACAUGAGAUGAAAAAUGAGGAGGCUGUUUGUAAAGAAUCCUGAAAAUAUGAGACAGUGCAGUGGGGGUGAUUAGGAAUGAAGAUCUGGCUGGGACAGACUGCCUGGGUUUGAAUCUUGUCUCUGUUGCUUCUGAGCUUGUGACUGGGGACAAGUAACCUAACCUUACUGUCUGAGUAAGAGGGUGCUAGUACUCACCUCACAGGACUUUUAUGAGGAUUAACAUUUAUCUACAGUAAGUACUGAGAACAGAGCUUGACAUGGAGCUAGAACUCAAUAAAAACUGUUCUUGCCCUUACUGUUGGGUUUUUAUUACUGUUAGUGUGGGCUGCGGCCUAUGUAGAGAGGGAAUCUUAAGUGGAGGUAGAGAGGGAUGAAGCAGGCAAGACUUCCUGAAAGAGGGAGGCUUUAGCUGAUUUUUGGAGUCUGGCUAGAGGGAACUUCUAGAGGGAAGGGUGUAAACAAAUGCCAAAAUUGGAAUGUUGGCAGAGUUGGAGAGAGAAAGAUGCCCUAGGGAGAAAUUUAGCUCAGCAAUACUGAGUUAUUGAGUGAGUACAGCUUUUCUUCUGCAGCUCACACAUAUGUGUGGGAUGCUGCUAUGGUCUGAAUAUGCCUUCCGAAAACUCCUAUGUUGAAACUUAAUCUUCAAUCUGAUAGUAUUGAGAGGUGGGGGCUUUUGGGAAGUAAGUCAUGAGGGCUCUGCCCUCAUGCAUGGGAUUAGCAUCCUUUAAAAGAGGCUGAAGGGAGCCUGUUUGUCCCUUCCACCAUGUGGGGACACAGCUAGAGUGCACUGUCUCUGAAGCAUUGAGCAGGCCCUCACCAGACACCAAAUCUGUGGGUUCCUGGAUCUUGGACUUCCCAGCCUCAUAAUGGUAAGCAGUACAUUUCUGUUGUUUAUAAGUUACCCAGUCUAUGGUAAUGCAUUGUAGCAGGCUAAACAGACUAAGACAGGUGCCUUUUCGCUUUACUCAGUUGAAGUCAGGCUCUCUCUGACCCCAUUUGGGGGGAAAUGUGGAGCAGGAGGAGAGCAAGGGCUUUGCAUUCAGACAGACCUAGGUUUGAAUGCUGGCUUUGCUCCUCACUGGCAGAGUCUUUGAGUUAAUUAUUAAUCUUAACCUCCUUGAGUCUCAGUUUUCUCACUUGUAGAGAUGUUGAGGGAAUUAAUUUAAAUGAAAAGAUUCUUCCCUCCUUCUUUCCCCACUUCCUCUCUUGCUCCUUUCUUCUUUCUCAUCCCCACCUCUCUCCAUUCACUCUCUGGGAGAGAGAAUCUCUGGCUGCUCCUGCAGCUGCCACACAUGAGCACAGCUGGUUGCCAACUCUGGCAGGGUGCCAGGGAGAUGGUGCCACGGGAAAAAAUAGUAAGUGCCAUUGGAACAAGGAGAAUUUCAUAGAAUUAGAAAGGUCCAAAAGGUAGCUUUUUAGUAUGGGUUGCAAGCAGGCUGACUCAUAGGAAUUUUGCUUUGCUGUGUUCUUUGUUACACGCUCCCAGAGUUUUAGCCAGGUGAUGGUGUGAGCAGCUUAGCACCUUUGCCAUCUGCCCACCCAUUAUGUAUGUGUGUAAACUGCCUCAGUCACUUAAAUUUGUGCACUCUGAUACAGCUCAUUCUUCUUAGAGUCAAGGAAGCUGAGGUUGAGAGAGUAGGAGUGACUUGCCCAAGGCCAUGCAGGGGCUGGGCUAGACACCUGCAUCCUUAAACCUGAGCUCUUUUCCUCACACAGAAAACGGUGUCAAAAGCAGUGGGAUAGGUGUUGGGAUGUGGGAAGAUGCUUUGCAGUAAAAAGGAAUUUGUCUUAUAGGUGAGGCCAAUUUUUCUUAGAUUGUUUUGACUGUUCAGUCCAGAAUGAGAGUUCCUUUUUUGGAUUAUGUUCAUAAAAUCCUGUGGAUUGGAUGAUUCUCACCAUCCUUUUAGGCUUGAUGAAAAAGAUAAAAAAAUAAUCACAGGCACUGAGUUUUCCUGAGAAACUGUGGCUUCAGUUCCCUUACCUCCUUCAAGGCCCCUCCCAAGGGUGAGUUUUUAAGCAUGAUGAAUUACUGUGGUCAGCUGUGGCAGCAUGCCAUGCCCAGGGGAGUAGAGCCCUUGGUUCCUUGGCCAGCCUGUGUCUCUCCAGCAGGCCAGCCUGCUGCACACGUUCCUGCACAGACACUGUCACUGCUGCAGCAUUUCCUUUGUCCCAACAGAGGCAUCACAAAUCUC